rnacentral:lncRNA from 1 species
CUUACCCAGAGGCCCUGGGGACAGGGUCUCGGGCUAUAGUUGGUCUCUGUUUCUUCCUGUCACAUCCACACCCCACCUGGUGGGCUCUGGGAUCCCAAAGCAGGGCCUCAAAGCCCCGCUGCUGAUGUGGCAGGGUUGUGCCAGGUCACAGAAAGUCACAUGCUGUGAUUCAGGCACAUGACGACAUCCCAUGCUUCCUGCCCCAAGACCUGGCUUCAUCAUGGACGGACCUAUGAGGAUGGUUCCAGCCUCUCCACUCAGGCAGGUUCAAGGAGAAGCCAGCUGCCACGCUGUGAGCAGCCCUGUGGGGAGGCUCACACGGCAAGGAACUGAGGCCUCCUGACAACGGCCAGUAAGAGACUGAGGCCUCCAGGAAACAACGACAUGAAUGAACUGGGAAGCGAAUACAGCUGACGGCAGCCUCAGGGACAUCUUCCGCGCAACUUCAUGAGAGACCCUAGAACCACCCAGCUAAGAUACCUGAAUUCCUCACCCACUGCGAGAUAACAAGUGUUUGUUGUUCUAAGCUGCUAAAUUUGGGGUAAUUUUUGUGCAGCCACAAAUAACUAAAACAACAUAUUUUGGACAUUUUUCUAUUGAGUUUUUUUUCUCUUUCUAAUUAAUUUGUAGGAAUUUUUAAGAAUAUCCUAGACACUAACUUCUUGUUAGUUACAUAGGGUACAAAUAUCUUCUCCCAAACUUUCGCUUUUCUUUUUGCUUUAUUUGUGGUGCUUUUUGAUAACAAAGGUUUAACAUGUAAU